rnacentral:rRNA from 1 species
CCUUGCCAGCCCGCUCAGAAACUUAAAUGAAUUGACGGGGCCCGCACAAGCGGUGGAGCAUGUGGUUUAAUUCGAUGAUACGCGGGGAACCUUACCUGGGCUCAAAUGUAUGUUGACGUAUUCUGAAAGGGAUACUUCUUCGGACAAUAUACAAGGUGCUGCAUGGUUGUCGUCAGCUCGUGCCGUGAGGUGUCGGGUUAAGUCCCAUAACGAGCGCAACCCCUAUCAUUAGUUGCCAUCAGGUUAAGCUGGGGACUCUAAAGGAACUGCCUACGCAAGUAGUGAGGAAGGCGGGGAUGACGUCAAAUCAGCACGGCCCUUACGUCCAGGGCUACACACGUGCUACAAUGGCCGAUACAGAGGGCAGCUACCUGGUGACAGGAUGCAAAUCUCCAAAGUCGGUCUCAGUUCGGAUCGGAGUCUGCAACCCGACUCCGUGAAGUUGGAUUCGCUAGUAAUCGCGCAUCAGCCAUGGCGCGGUGAAUACGUUCCCGGGCCUU